rnacentral:lncRNA from 1 species
AGUGGGCAUCUUUGUACCCCUAAUUCUACUUCGGACACUUGUCCAUUUUUACCUCUCGUCUCACUCUUUUUCUUUCUUUUCCGAGGUUCCGGGCACUUGCCCCUUUUUAUUUCCUCGUAUAUUUUUGCAUAACCCAUGCCUCUUCUGCAUUGAAUCUUUUUAGAGAGAGAGAAUAACAAUACUUGGGACAGUGAGUGAUAAUAUAUUUUUAGCAAUUUUAAUGAUUGAUGAAUGCUGUGGUAGAUGUGUGCAAGUGAAUAUCUUA